CCUACGGGGGGCAGCAGUGAGGAAUAUUGGUCAAUGGGCGCAAGCCUGAACCAGCCAAGUCGCGUGAGGGAUGACGGUCCUAUGGAUUGUAAACCUCUUUUGUCGGGGAGCAAGGCCCGCCACGUGUGGCGGGAAGGAGAGUACCCGAAGAAAAAGCAUCGGCUAACUCCGUGCCAGCAGCCGCGGUAAUACGGAGGAUGCGAGCGUUAUCCGGAUUUAUUGGGUUUAAAGGGUGCGUAGGCGGAAGGUUAAGUCAGCGGUAAAAUGUCGGUGCUCAACACCGGCCUGCCGUUGAAACUGGUCUUCUUGAGUGAGCGAGAAGUAUGCGGAAUGCGUGGUGUAGCGGUGAAAUGCAUAGAUAUCACGCAGGACUCCGAUUGCGAAGGCAGCAUACCGGCGCUCAACUGACGCUGAGGCACGAAAGCGUGGGGAUCGAACAGGAUUAGAUACCCCAGUAGUC
rnacentral:rRNA from 1 species